rnacentral:rRNA from 1 species
GACGAACGCUGGCGGCGUGCUUAACACAUGCAAGUCGAACGGAAAGGCCCUGCUUUUGUGGGGUGCUCGAGUGGCGAACGGGUGAGUAACACGUGAGUAACCUGCCCUUGACUUUGGGAUAACUUCAGGAAACUGGGGCUACUACCGGAUAGGAGCUCCUGCUGCAUGGUGGGGGUUGGAAAGUUUCGGCGGUUGGGGGUGGACUCGCGGCUUAUCAGCUUGUUGGUGGGGUAGUGGCUUACCAAGGCUUUGACGGGUAGCCGGCCUGAGAGGGUGACCGGCCACAUAGGGACUUAGAGACGGCCGAGACGGCUACGGGAGGCAGCAGGGGGGAAUAUUGCACAAUGGGCGGAGGCCUGGUGCAGCAACGCCGCGUGCUGGAUGACGGCUUUCGGGUUAUAAAACGCUUGCGCCUGUAACGAAGCGUGAGUUACGGUAAUGGGUAAAGAAGCACCGGCUAACUACGUG